GCAGCAGUAGCAACCAAGUAGCGCAUCAACAAAACUAACCAAAGCAACCCAACCUUUCAACCCAGCAUAUAGUCAAACAGGAGAGGGUACUCACUCACUCUUACGUUCAACAUUUGGAGAAGACUGCUUCUUCACACGCAGAGACAUCCUGUUCUCGAUGAACUGCCAACUCUUCCUCCAUGCCUUGUCCACCAUGUUGAAGAUUUGAGUACACACUCACAGCAGCUCCUCCAGGAAACUCAGUCUGCACCGGGCAGUUCAAAGUUCAACCAGUGACCAAUGACAGUUACAUCAUGUUUGGCAUAUAGGAGCCUCACUUCUACCAAAGUGAGUCCAAUAUAUAUUCCAAAGUCCAGUUGGAGCGCACGGUGACAAGCCACCAAAAUGGUGUAAUGUCAGUAAGAAGAGAAAGAAGGCGAGAGAAAGAGACUCCAAGGGAUGUCCUGCUGUUCUCUUCAAGGCCAGCCUCACUUCUCCUCUGUCAGGGGACAUGCAUCAGCGUGACCAUGACAUCAGACUACAGAGCAGAGAAGUGGAGCCGGCACUCCGGCGUACCGUUCGAUCCAUUGACAUGGCAGCCUCUGCUCUCAGCUGCAGCUCUGGAUCCAUUGUCUGCAUCCCUCCUCACUGCCACACACGGACUUAGUCAGCACAACAACACCGCUUAUACCCCACUACUGCAGCCAGGUAGGUACUGCAAGCAACCAUCAAACACACACUGACAGCAACAGAGACAUGUGCCCACCUACCUGAGCCUUCAUAUAUCUGCCACCUCUGUGUCGAGUGUCGAGGACACAGAGAGAGUUCAGGUGGAGCUGAGAGCCCCUGCACUAUAAGGCAGGCUCGUUGAUCUACGUAGAGCUGAGGUCGAUAAACAGGCUGCUAAGCUAGCAGAGGAGAGGUGGACAGAGGUGGGAUAUAGUGCUGUAGUGUAGGCUGCCUGGGGUUAAGAGACAUGGAGCACCAGGC